UGCAAGUCGAGUGCGCAGUUUCCUGUAGCAAUACAGGGGAUGGGCGCACGGCGCACGGGUGCGUAACACGUGGGUAACCUGCCCUCUGAUGGGGGAUAACCCCGCGAAAGCGGGGCUAAUACCGCAUGACAUUCCGAGGAUUUCGGUUCUUGGAUUCAAAGCCCGCAAGGGCGUCGGAGGAGGGGCCCGCGCCCGAUUAGCUUGUUGGUGAGGUAACGGCUCACCAAGGCUGUGAUCGGUAGCCGGUCUGAGAGGACGACCGGCCACACUGGAACUGAGACACGGUCCAGACUCCUACGGGAGGCAGCAGUGGGGAAUCUUGCGCAAUGGGCGAAAGCCUGACGCAGCGACGCCGCGUGGGGGAUGAAGCCCUUCGGGGUGUAAACCCCUUUCGACCCGGACGAAUGGCCCGCAAGGGAGUUGACGGUACGGGUAGAAGAAGCCCCGGCUAACUACGUGCCAGCAGCCGCGGUAAAACGUAGGGGGCCAGCGUUGCUCGGAAUUACUGGGCGUAAAGGGUCCGUAGGCGGUGUGGCAAGUCGGGAGUGAAAUCUCAUGGCUUAACUGUGAGACUGCUUCCGAAACUGCUGUGCUCGAGUGCGGGAGAGGCGAGUGGAAUUGCCGGUGUAGCGGUGAAAUGCGUAGAUAUCGGCAGGAACACCCGUGGCGAAGGCGGCUCGCUGGACCGCAACUGACGCUGAGGGACGAAAGCUAGGGGAGCAAACAGGAUUAGAUACCCUGGUAGUCCUAGCCCUAAACCAUCAGACUUGGCGUGCAUCCCGUUUGGGGUGCGUGCCGGAGCUAACGCGUUAAGUCCUGCGCCUGGGGAGUAC
rnacentral:rRNA from 1 species